CCUACGGGGUGCAGCAGUGAGGAAUAUUGGUCAAUGGGCGCUAGCCUGAACCAGCCAAGUAGCGUGAAGGAUGACUGCCCUAUGGGUUGUAAACUUCUUUUAUAUGGGAAUAAAGUGCAGUAUGUAUACUGCUUUGCAUGUACCUUAUGAAUAAGGAUCGGCUAACUCCGUGCCAGCAGCCGCGGUAAUACGGAGGAUCCGAGCGUUAUCCGGAUUUAUUGGGGUGAAAGGGGGCGUAGGCGGGUGUUUAAGUCACGUGGUAAAGUUUGCGGCUCAACCGUUAACUUGCAGUUGAUACUGGCAUCCUUGAGUACAGUAGAGGUAGGCGGAAUGCGUGGUGUAGCGGUGAAAUGCUUAGAUAUCACGCAGAACUCCGAUUGCGAAGGCAGCCUGCUGGACUGUAACUGACGCUGAUGCUCGAAAGUGUGGGUAUCAAACAGGAUUAGAUACCCGUGUAGUC
rnacentral:rRNA from 1 species